GCCUUUGAAAAUCCUGUUCUCGUACGAUCACUGAAGUUAAGAGACAUCGAGCAUGGUUAGUACCUAAAUGGGUGACUUCUUCAGAAUACCUGGUGCU